rnacentral:rRNA from 1 species
UACAGAGGGUGCGAGCGUUUAAUCGGAAUUACUGGGCGUAAAGCGCGCGUAGGCGGCUUUUGCAAGUCGGGUGUGAAAUCCCCCAGGCUCAACCUGGGAACUGCAUUCGAGACUGCAUUGCUAGAGUAUGGGAGAGGGAAGUGGAAUUUCCGGUGUAGCGGUGAAAUGCGUAGAUAUCGGAAGGAACAUCAGUGGCGAAAGCGACUUCCUGGACCAAUACUGACGCUCAUGUGCGAAAAGCGUGGGGAGCAAACAGG